rnacentral:rRNA from 1 species
UACGUAGGGUGCAAGCGUUGUCCGGAAUUAUUGGGCGUAAAGAGCUUGUAGGCGGUUUGUCGCGUCUGCUGUGAAAUUUCGGGGCUCAACCCCGAACUUGCAGUGGGUACGGGCAGACUAGAGUGUGGUAGGGGAGACUGGAAUUCCUGGUGUAGCGGUGAAAUGCGCAGAUAUCAGGAGGAACACCUAUGGCGAAGGCAGCUCGCUGGGACGGUAUUGACGCUGAGACGCGAAAGCGUGGGGAGCGAACAGG